AUUGAACGCUGGCGGCAGGCCUAACACAUGCAAGUCGAGCGAGCGGCGGACGGGUGAGUAAUGCCUGGGAAUUGCCCAGUCGAGGGGCAUAACAGGUGGAAACGUCUGCUAAUACUCCAUACGAUUCGAUUGCCCAGGUGUGAUUAGCUAGUUGGUGAGGUAAUGGCCCACCAAGGCGACGAUCCGUAGCUGGACUGAGAGGAUGAUCAGCCACACUGGAACUGAGACACGGUCCAGACUCCUACGGGAGGCAGCAGUGGGGAAUAUUGCACAAUGGGGGAAACCCUGAUGCAGCCAUGCCGCGUGUGUGAAGAAGGCCUUCGGAUUGUAAAGCACUUUCAGCGAGGAGGCGUUACUCGAAGAAGAAGCACCGGCUAACUCCGUGCCAGCAGCCGCGGUAAUUC
rnacentral:rRNA from 1 species